rnacentral:rRNA from 1 species
GACGAACGCUGGCGGCGUGCUUAACACAUGCAAGUCGAACGGAAAGGCUCCAGCUUGCUGGUGUGCUCGAGUGGCGAACGGGUGAGUAACACGUGGGUAAUCUGCCCUGCACUCUGGGAUAAGCCUGGGAAACUGGGUCUAAUACUGGAUAUGACAUUUCUCCUCAUGGGGUUUGGUGGAAAGUUUUUCGGUGUGGGAUGAGCCCGCGGCCUAUCAGCUUGUUGGUGGGGUUAUGGCCUACCAAGGCGACGACGGGUAGCCGGCCUGAGAGGGUGAUCGGCCACACUGGGACUGAGAUACGGCCCAGACUCCUACGGGAGGCAGCAGUGGGGAAUAUUGCACAAUGGGCGGAAGCCUGAUGCAGCGACGCCGCGUGAGGGAUGACGGCCUUCGGGUUGUAAACCUCUUUCAGCAGGGACGAAGCGUAAGUGACGGUACCUGCAGAAGAAGCACCGGCUAACUACGUG